CUGAUGGGCGCGUCCGGGUCAAUUGCGGCUUGCAACACCCGAUCUUGCUGCCGGUGCCAGACGACAUGGCCGCCGGCAAGCGGGAGCGCGUGACCGUCAG
rnacentral:ncRNA from 1 species